UCUGGUGAUGAGUUGUGGGUAGGAGUGAAAGGCUAAUCAAACCUGGAAAUAGCUGGUUCUCCCCGAAAUGCAUUGAGGUGCAGCCUCGGGAGUUCACCGUCGGGGGUAGAGCACUGACAAGGCUAGGGUCCGCGAGGAUACCAACCCUUAUCAAACUCCGAAUUCCGAUGAGUGCAUCCCGGGAGUGAGACGGCGGGAGAUAAGUUUCGUCGUCGAGAGGGAAAGAGCCCAGACUACCGGCUAAGGUCCCGAAGUAAGUGCUAAGUGGUCAAGGAAGUGGAUGAUCACAGACAACCAGGAGGUUGGCUUAGAAGCAGCCACCCUUUAAAGAAAGCGUAAUAGCUCACUGGUCGAGAUUGUCUGCACCGUAAAUAUAACGGGGCUCAAGCACUUCGCCGAAGCCGUAGACUCGUAAGAGUGGUAGGGGAGCGUUCCAGAUGCAGCGAAGCUGUCUCGUAAGAGGUGGUGGAGCGUCUGGAAGUGAGAAUGCUGACGUGAGUAGCGAUAAACAGGGUGAAAAACCCUGUCGCCGUAAACCCAAGGGUUCCUGUCCAAGGAUCAUCCGGGCAGGGUUAGUCGGCCCCUAAGGCGAACCCGAAAGGGGCAGCCGAUGGGAAACGGGCGAACAUUCCCGUACCACCGACAUGGAGCAGAGCAGGGACGGAGAAGGGUAGGUGAGCUGGUGAUUGGAUUCCAGUGCAAGCGAGUAGGUAGUGGGUGUAGGAAGAAAACGCACCCGCAAAGCCGAGACGUGAUGCCGAGGCCCUCGAGGCUGAAGUCAUUGAUCCCACGCUUCCAAGAAAAGCUGCGUACUGCGUUGAAAUGUUGGUGACCGUACCCCAAACCGACUCAGGUGGGUGGGUGGAGAACACCAAGGCGCUUGAGAGAACUCGGGUUAAGGAACUAGGCAAAUUAACACCGUAACUUCGGGAUAAGGUGUGCCAUCGGUACGUGAAGGGCCUGCGCCCGGAGCGGAGGGUGGUUGCAACAAAGAGGCGGUAGCGACUGUUUACCAAAAACACAGGACUCUGCGAAGCCGCAAGGCGAUGUAUAGGGUCUGACGCCUGCCCGGUGCCGGAAGGUUAAGAGGAGCUGUCAGGGCAACCAAAGCAGUGAAUCGAAGCCCCGGUAAACGGCGGCCGUAACUAUAACGGUCCUAAGGUAGCGAAAUUCCUUGUCGGGUAAGUUCCGACCUGCACGAAUGGCGUAACGACUUCCGCGCUGUCUCGACCCGGGACUCAGCGAAAUCGACGUUGGGGUGAAGAUGCCCCAUACCCGCGGAAAGACGGAAAGACCCUGUGAACCUUUACUCUAACUUGGCAGUGACAUUCGGUUCAGCUUGUGUAGGAUAGGUGGGAGACUGGGAAACCCGCGCGCCAGCGUGGGUGGAGUCGUCGUUGAAAUACCACCCUGGUUGUUCUGGCUGUCUAACUCCUUCGGGAGGACACUGUCUGGUGGGGAGUUUGACUGGGGCGGUCGCCUCCCAAACGGUAACGGAGGCGCGCAAAGGUUCCCUCAGCCUGGAUGGA
rnacentral:rRNA from 1 species